rfam:Microgenomates (Pacebacteria) bacterium GW2011_GWA1_46_10 TX28_C0001, whole genome shotgun sequence.
AAAUUUGUGAAUUAACGCAGAGAGCGAAUGCCUUGGCUUAUCUAGCCGAAGAAGGACGCUAAGCCCGCGAAAGUCGCCGAGGAGCUGGCAUGAAGCUGUGAUCCGGCGGUGUCCGAAUGGGAUAACCCCGUCAUGAGAGAUCAUGAUGACUUCUCCGACUUUAGUCGGAGAGGGGGUAACCAGGGGAACUGAAAUAUCUAAGUACCCUGAGGAAAAGAAAUCGUAAGAGAUUCCCCGAGUAAGCGACGAGCGAAAAGGGAAAAGCCCAAACCCCGAUUUAUCGGGGGGUUGUAGGACUUCAACAUUGGACUUUGUAAGAUAGAAGAACACUCUGGAAUGGGUGGCCACAGAGCGUGAAAGCCGCGUAUUUGAAAUCAAGCAAAGCUAGAGAAGAUUCCUGAGUAAGUUGGGAGACGGCAAACUCCCUUCCGAACCUGGGGUGACCACACUCCAAGGCUAAAUACUAGAUAAGACCGAUAGUGAACGAGUACCGUGAGGGAAAGGUGAAAAGAAGGGUGGAAGACCCCAUGAAAUAGAUCCUGAAACUCUCUGCUAACAACCAGACAACGCCCCGCCUCGGCGGGGUUAUGUCGUGCCUAUUGAAGAAUGAGCCAGUGAGUAUUUGAUACCUGCUUUGGUUAAGACGUUUCGCGUCGAAGCCGCAGUGAAAGCGAGCCUUAAGAGGGCGAUUUGGUAGGUAUCGAAUGACCCGAAACCAGGUGAGCUAACCAUGGCCAGGGUGAAUUUCGUCGAAAGACGGAAGGAAGCCCGCACCGGUGUAUGUUGCAAGAUGCUCGGAUGAGCUGUGGUUAGAGGUAAUAUGCCAAUCGAACCUGGAGAUAGCUGGUUCUCCCCGAAAUAUAUUUAGGUAUAGGGUCACGAGUUAGCAAAUGAGGGGUAGAGCACUGAUCGGGUGUUUGGGAGGAAACUCCCAGCAUCUAGUCAAACUUCGAAUACUCAUUUGUAUUUCGUGGCACUCAGUACCCGGGAGCUAAGUUCCGGGGGCAAAAGGGAAACAUCCCAGAUCUACAACUAAGGUCUCUCAUACAUGUUGAGUGGAAAAGGAAGUGUGUGUCCUCAGACACCUAGGAGGUCGGCUCAGAAGCAGCCAUCCUUUAAAGAAAGCGUAACAGCUCACUAGCCGUAGGGUGCACGCGUCGAAAAUGUAACGAGGCUGAAACAUGUAACCGAAGUUUAGACUUGCCGCAAGGCAGGGGUAGGGGAGCGUUCUGUGUGCAGUGAAGGUUAGCCGUGAGGAUUAACUGGAGCGAUCAGAAGUGAGAAUGCUGGCAUGAGUAGCGAAAUUGGGGUGAGAAUCCCCAACCCCGAAUAUCCAAGGUUUCCGCACCCACGUUCGUCGUGUGCGGGUGAGGCGACCCUAAGGUCAGUCCUGUAAAUGCAGGAGUAGCCGAUGGAUUACUGGUUAAUAUUCCAGUCCUUGGUAUCAAUCGUUCGACUUGGGGGGUGACGAUAAUGGAUAGGAUUUGUCCCGAUGUGAAGUCGGGAUCUAAGCACUAAAGCAGUCUUGAUAGGAAAAUCCGUUAAGGCGUUUAUCUGAGGUGUGAUGGGUCUAUCUCGCUUGCGAGAUGGACAAGUCUCGAGUUCGUUAUCCUGGAAAAACCCCGCAAGGAGAUUGAUAUCAAAUCGUACCGAUAACCGACACAGGUGGAUAGGUCGAGCAGACCAAGGGGAGCGAGAGAAGGUAGCUUAAGGAACUCGGCAAAAUAGCUGGGCGUAAUCUCGAAAGAUGCCCUUCUCCCGAUUUAUCGGGAGACACAGUAAAAGAUGUAGGGUUGACUGUUUAUCAAAAACACAGGUCCGUGCAAACUCGUAAGAGGAGGUAUACGGGCUGAAACCUGCCCGGUGCCGGAGAAGCCCCGGUGAACGGCAGCAGUAACUAUAACUGUUCUAAGGUAGCGAAGUUCCUUGUCGCUUAAUUGGCGACCCGCACGAAAGGCUCAACAAGCCCUAUACUGUCUUAAGCUAUUACUCGGCGAAAUUGAAAUGGCCGUGAAGAUGCGGCCUACUAGCAGCAGGACAAAAAGACCCCGUGAAGCUUUACUACACCCUGGCACUGAUUUUGUAUAUGGAAUUGUCUAGGAUAGGCGGGAGAGCUGGAAUUUAGUUCCAGCUCGUCAGUGUAAUACCGCUCGUUUUAUAUAUAAAAUCUCACCAACUUUACUGCAAACGUGAAAAGGGACCCUGUCAGGCAGGUAGUUUAACUGGGGAGGUUGCUUGCUAAAGAGUAACGCAAGCGUGCAAUGGUACCCUUAGCCUGGAUGGAAAUCAGGCUGGACGUGCAAUAGCAUAUGGGUGCUUUACUGUGAGGCCUACAAGCCGAGCAGUUGCGAAAGCAGGUUAUAGUGAUCCACUUGAACUUUGUGGAAGGUUCAGUGCUUAACGAAUAAAAGCUACUCCGGGGAUAACAGAGUCAUCUCGCCUAAGCGUCCCUAGCGUCGGCGAGGUUUGCUACCUCGAUGUCGGCUCAUCGCAUCCUGGGGCUGAAGAAGGUCCCAAGGGUUUGUCUGUUCGCCAAUUAAAGCGGUACGCGAGCUGGGUUCAGACCGUCGUGAGACAGGUCGGCCUCUAUCCGCUGCUAGCGUUAGAUACUUGAGGGAAUUUGCCCCUAGUACGAGAGGACCGGGGUGAGGAAAUCCCUAGUGUUCCUGUUGUCGCUGUCAAGCGCAUUGCAGGGUAGCUACAUUUCUAAAGGAUAAUCGCUGAAAGCAUCUAAGCGAGAAGCCUCUCCCAAGAUUAAGUAUCUCUAUGAGACCCGUGGGAGAUUACCACGUUGAUAGGCAGUCGGUGUACAGCUGGUAACAGCUUUAGCCUAACUGUACUAAGCGUCCAUUGAACAAAUUUAG